rnacentral:rRNA from 1 species
CAAGUCGAACGAGAAAGCAGGAGCAAUCUUGUGAGUAAAGUGGCGUACGGGUGAGUAACACGUGGAUUAUCUACCCUCUUGUGGGGGAUAACCCUGGGAAACCGGGGCUAAUACCGCAUAAGCUCGAGAGAGGAAAGCAGCAAUGCGCAGGAGGAGGAGUCCGCGGCCGAUUAGCUAGUUGGUAGGGUAAAAGCCUACCAAGGCUACGAUCGGUAGCCGGCCUGAGAGGGCACACGGCCACACUGGCACUGAAACACGGGCCAGACUCCUACGGGAGGCAGCAGUGGGGAAUCUUGCACAAUGGGGGCAACCCUGAUGCAGCGACGCCGCGUGAGCGAUGAAGCCCUUCGGGGUGUAAAGCUCUUUCGGCAGGGAAGAUUAUGACGGUACCUGCAGAAGCAGCUGCGGCUAACUACGUGCCAGCAGCCGCGGUAAUACGUAGGCAGCAAGCGUUGUUCGGAGUUACUGGGCGUAAAGGGUGUGUAGGCGGUUCUCUAAGUCUGGUGUGAAAUCUCCCGGCUCAACUGGGAGGGUGCGCCGAAAACUGGAGGACUAGAGUGCGGGAUGGGAGAGUGGAAUUCCUGGUGUAGCGGUGAAAUGCGUAGAUAUCAGGAGGAACACCUGUGGUGUAGACGGCUCUCUGGACCGCAACUGACGCUGAGACACGAAAGCGUGGGUAGCAAACAGGAUUAGAUACCCUGGUAGUCCACGCCCUAAACGAUGCAUAUUUGGUGUGGGCCAUUCAUUUGGUCUGUGCCGGAGCUAACGCGUUAAAUAUGCCGCCUGGGGAGUACGGUCGCAAGGCUGAAACUCAAAGGAAUUGACGGGGGCCCGCACAAGCGGUGGAGCAUGUGGUUCAAUUCGACGCAACGCGAAAAACCUUACCUGGGCUCGAACGGCUCAC